ACAGCAGCAGCCGCGGUAAUACAGAGGGUGCGAGCGUUAAUCGGAUUUACUGGGCGUAAAGCGUGCGUAGGCGGCUUUUUAAGUCGGAUGUGAAAUCCCUGAGCUUAACUUAGGAAUUGCAUUCGAUACUGGGAAGCUAGAGUAUAGGAGAGGAUGGUAGAAUUCCAGGUGUAGCGGUGAAAUGCGUAGAGAUCUGGAGGAAUACCGAUGGCGAAGGCAGCCAUCUGGCCUAAUACUGACGCUCAGGUGCGAAAGCGUGGGGAGCAAACAGGAUUAGAGACCCCCGUAGUCCCUGUCUCUUAUAC
rnacentral:rRNA from 1 species